rnacentral:rRNA from 1 species
UACGGGGGGUGCAAGCGUUGUUCGGAUUUAUUGGGCGUAAAGAGCUCGUAGGCGGUUUGUCGCGUCUGCUGUGAAAACCUAAGGCUCAACCUUGGGCUUGCAGUGGGUACGGGCAGACUAGAGUGCGGUAGGGGUGACUGGAAUUCCUGGUGUAGCGGUGGAAUGCGCAGAUAUCAGGAGGAACACCGAUGGCGAAGGCAGGUCACUGGGCCGCAACUGACGCUGAGGAGCGAAAGCAUGGGGAGCGAACAGG